UUAGCGAAGUCUCCGCACUCUUUAACCGUGCUCGAAUAGUCCAACAACGCAAUUAAACGAUUCUCGCCAUUACUGUAUACAAUAUUCUUUAUUAUAUACAAAGAUUAUGAUUGUUAUAAAAAAACAUGAAGGACAUCCAUCAAUAGCUAAAUAUAAAUUCGCUUAAUUUUGCUCAUCGCGUGACAUGUGUUCGAACUGUGUAGAUAAGAUUUUGAAAUAAUUAAGUUAGACUAAAAGAUAUAACAUACAUAUAAAAAACGAGCGCGGAUUCCUUAAUAUAACUAAUUAAAUUAUUAAUACUUCAUUAGUUAAUUGAUUAAAAUAGAAAUAGAAAACGAGUCUAUUAAGGAAUUCAUAUCUGACCACACCGUUUGAUGUACACUCGUCGGAAUUUGACUGAUAACUAAUUACUACAGACAUUAUUAAGUUGCAGACAAAACGAACACAUAGAUCUCAAUAAACUUACAAUACAUUAAUUAAUUAUAAUACAAACUAGAGAAUCGUAUUCUACGCUAGAGACUUAAGAAUCGCAGCGCGUAACAGUGUCACGGUGAUAAAUAUGCUCAUCGGACCUCCAGGAUGGUGGAACUAAGCCUAUGUUAGAGUGCAUCAAGACUGGCGGCGGUCGGCGCCGGACACGUCAUCAGGCCGCAUUCCGUGGCGCGUUCAUUCAUGUUGAGAGAGCGAGAGCUAGCGGAGAGGCCUCGGGCUAGAGGGAGACGGGGACACCAGCGCCGUUACCCUGCAUGGGAAUGCAAUUCGCGCAAGCGCACGGAUUUGAUGCCGGACUCGCGUUCCUUGACACAGAGCCAUCCCAGCCCUGGCAUCCUAUCGGAGAACAUCAGCGACGCGUCUGUUCGCAUCGAGCGCCGGUUUCCUGUGAGAACGCCGACUCGUUUGUCCACGUUGACGUCUCACGCUAGGACGGUUUACAUGUGUCAGGCAAGACAUUAUUUUACGCCUUAUUAGUUCGCGGAUCCGAUCCCGAGACGACGAUGUAUUCACACCGGAGUAACAAACAAACAAACAAAAAAAAAACAA